GGUGUCGAAGAUGGAAAUCGCGCGUCCGCUCAAAGCUGUUUUGUUGGAAAGAACGUUGGCGCCGAGUUGGCGGUGUUGUAGAGCUUUCGCUGAAUAAUCAAUCCAACGGGUUCGCACAUCCGUUGCCACCUGUUUUGUGCGAUAUGUGGUCCGCCUACGGCGUCCAUCCGAGCCCGUGAAGUGUCCUUUUUUUCAACGAACAUGAACGGCGACUGCAGCCAGCCCAGCCAGCCGACCCUGAGGCGACGGUUGUCCCAGCCGUCCCACUCACCGCGGCCGUCAUCGUCAUGCAUCGACGCCUUUCGGAGGCAAAAACUGAGGUACGCCGAGGCACUCAAACGUCACUUGAUCGACGACGACGACAACAGCCGGAAAGACAGCGAGAACGGAGCGACGACGUCGAAGAAACGGCACGUAUCUUCGUCUGACAAGAGACGCCCCGCGAGACCGCUGUCGGUGAACGGCGCGGUCGGUUCACGCACCGAGCCAACCCGCAGAAACAGCAGACCCAAGUCGUGCUCCCGGUGUUCCAAGACGUUCUCGUGUGCAGCGGAGCUUCAGAAGCACUCCGUGUCACACGGCAGUAACAAUGUUGCGACGGACGCUACUCCCUACAAGUGCCCGCUGUGUUCGCAAACCUUCCAAACCCUGAGUGUUAUCAAAGCGCACGUGAAUUCCGUUCACGUUUGACGUGAUUCAUUCGUGAGUGACACGCAGCCGUUAUCGUGGACUGGGCACGCUAGUGCCACAAAAGCCGACUCUUGUCCACUGUCCAGCGACGAAGCAGUCGGCAUCCGAGCUCUUCGUACGCAAGAGAAAAACAAGAUUGACCACGAAAUGUGUCAAACACAUAUCCGCGAGCAGUUUUUCUUUUAUUUAUUUAU